AAGUGUACAGGUUAAGAAGCAUAGAAAAUGUAUUUGCUAACAUGCUGCACAGAUUCACUGGGAGGCUGAGCUCCCUUCAGAAUUGUUCAUGGUUAAAAUAUUACACUGUGCAUAAAAGCUAUUAUCUGCCAGACACCAUAGGAAGGAAAUGUAUUUCUCAACAAAUAAAGUAAUUUAUUUUUAAGAAACACAUUUUAAAUCAAUGAAGUCCAAGUGACUCAAGCAUAUGCUGAAAUGCUUACAGUUCUAUUUUUCUUCAUUAGACUAAAAAACUCAGAAGAAUAAUGCUGUGAUAAUAAGGUUACAUAUUCAUGAUGCCUCUUCUACAGUAAAAGCUUAUUUUCUUCUGUCAAAAAAAUGAUCUUCAGUUGUUCCCUCAAGUCCACUUAUUAUGAACUUCUUGAAACACCAGUAAAAAUUAUGAUGUUUCUCAUCCUCAAGGAUUAUUCUUAAUUAGCCAGUACCAACCAGGUCAUGCACUGAAAACACUGAUGAAAUUCUGAUUCCAGCUGCUGACUGAAACACCUCCACUCUCGCGGAGAGUUGAACUGUGGUCUCUCAUAGUAUUGAACUGGGACUUUCUGUACUGCAUCAGCCUGUGUGCAGAUACCACGCCUUAUCCAAAAUAUUUUUGACUUCAUUUCCCUAAAGGUUCACAAACAGAUCUAUUGCACUCUUAUAUUACUUAUGCUUCUUUUCUGGUUUAUAAUGCCUGUUUUCAGUCUCCUUAUUUCCUUUCAAUUCCUUUCUCUGACAUUUGUGCUCAUUAUCUCUCGCUAUCAUGUCAUUGUCAUUUGGAAAGCACAAUUUGUUGUUACCUGUGAAAUAGAAUUAAGUAGUUAAAUAUAGUAUCGAUUCAGUCAUAUUUACCAGCAUACAUCUACUGCACCAGAGCCCACAUGCCAUCAAGCUGUUAAAUCUCAGCUCCAGCUCCACAUCAGAAGCUCAAAGCCAUGCCUCAUGCUUGGUGAUAGACUCAGAAGAGAAAUUAAGGUCUUAGUGAGCCUUGGAAACUGCGGUAUCAUACUUACCCGUCUCCUUUUACAAAGAGUCAUUUGUUAUGAAAAGUAAAUUCAAAUCAAAUGUUUCAUGAAGCUUGGAACAAGACAUGGAUUGGCAGAGUGAGGUGUGAGAUUCCAUCGGCGCAGAUUCCUGGAGGUUGUGUGAACAUCAGUUUGUCACAGAUACAUGCAGAAAGUGGACAGCAAAAGGAAGAAGUGCCUGAACAGAGAAUGGUGAAAGGAAUGGACCUGCCACAGCUAACUGUCGCAGUGGCUGGGGACUAGAUGCAGAAGGAAGUGGCCAUCAGCAAGGCAGGGAGGGCACAUGCUGCUCAGGCCACGGCUGAAAGCUCUUCUGUCCUCUGCAUGGCAUGUUCUCACAGCAGAAGACGUGAGGAAUUACAGCUAAGCUGGAAAUGUUUCAUGAUGGAAUGUAUCUUGUCAAAGCAUUUGUAGAUCCUGCCUACGCUCUUCCUAUCUGUGUGGUAGGGUGACCAGACUGUUUGAAAAGUAUUCGGAAUUUCCCCAGGAGAUCACUAGAGGAAUAAAUGCUUCUGUCGUUCAAUCAUCUCCAUUUAUGUCAUCAGCAGGAAAAAAUGUGUUGACAAGUGUUUCAUCAUACAAACAACUCUUUUAUAAACUGAUGGACAAUUAACUGUCAACUCUGAAAAUGAAUCCGGAUGAAUCUCUACAAAUGUCGGGGUACAGUACUGCCCUCAGAGGGGGAAGACAUGUUGUUUCUUAAGUACCCUUCCUGUUUAAAAAGAAUACUUCUUGACAAUGGAAGAGAAGAGACAAGCCUUGGAUGAACAUUGUAGGCAUGAAGGAAAUGCAGUCUGUCACUUCUUUUCGGGACCAAGCAGGCUGUAGGUUCCCUAUGGACUCUUGCCACAGUUUGCCUGAAUUUCUUAAUUCUCUCUGUUUAUAAUUGUUGGUGUUUUUUUUUUUUUCAUAAGCAUAUGUACUUCGGUGAGACUUCGAUGAUUUUUUAAUGAGAAGGUGGGAUGAUUAGUUUACCCUUUAGGAUGCACUCUUGUCAUGUAAACGUGCCAGAAAUCCUGCUGAAUUUCUCCAAGACAAAUAUUUUUCCAACAGUGUAAGAUUAGCAAAAUCGUCUACAUCACUGUGCCUUUUGGAUCCUGGCAUGGAAAUACACAUUAAACAUAUGAGGGUAAACUGAUGAAAGGAAAUGGUAUGGCCACAUACCUUUGCAGUCCAGUUAUUAUUGGAAACAGUCACGUAGUGGUAUAAGGUACAUAGCGUAAUUGGGUGCUUCAGUGCAAAGAUUUUAGAUAGGCUAAAUUGACAAUAAUAUUACAUCUGUGCUCCCACUGUCUUUGUUGUCAAUUAGGUAACUGUAAAGAUCAUCCACUACUGAGUCCAGUCUAAUGAGAAAUGCAAGUUCUUUAACCAAAACUAGAACACAAUAAAAUAAACUUUCAAGUGAUUAAAACAAAAACAAAAAUCUGACCAUAAAUAUACAGUACACUUGUGGGAAACAAGGGUGCCACGUUAUGACCAAAUACCCAAGAGAUGCUUAUCACUCUUCAUUCAGCAGCACACAGCAUGCAUAUCCACAUGCUGAGGCGGGCAUGCAAAAAGACAGGCACGCAAGAAUACACUUUAGGUAGCUGCAAAAUAAAAAAGACAUUUCAUUGGAAGAACUUCUUGAUCUGCCAGAGUGGUUCAGAAAAUGUAAAUGUAUAGCAGGCUGAAAAAGAUUGCAGGGAAAGCAGGGAAAUAGUGGUAAAACAGUAUGGAACAGGGGGAAUAAAAUAGGGCAGAUCCAGUUAACUUAGAGAAGCAUGUGCUACAUGCUAAAAGAGUGACCAACUAGUCUCCCUGAAAUCUGUCCAAUCUGUUCGAACUCUCUAAGGCCAAAAACAUAGUUAUGAAAAUCAAGUUAAAGGUUUUUACUAAAAUAGAACUUUUUCUCCUAUCAACAAAAUAUAAAAAUAUGAACAAGAACACUUGAAAUAUGAACAAAAACACAGAACAAAAUUCAGGGAUAUCAAAUAAAUUACCAAAUGCAUGGAAUGAACUAUACUCAUGAAAUCAGACAAAAGAAAGUCAGGGGCCUUCUGUAUCAGAAAGGCUGUCUUGGACCUCAGAAAUACCAGUGCCAGCAGAAGAACAGAGGUGCCAGUCAGAACCAAUAUAUCUCAGCAUCUCUUAAAAAACAAGCUUUCUGCUUUAGGUUUUAAAAUUUUUAGAAGUGAAUCUUGGAAAAUUAACCCUGGAAAAUAUGCAUAUUAAUUCUUCAUUUACAGGCCGCCAAAAGCAGUACAAAGCAAUUUGGACAGAGUGAUUUGUUAAUGCUGAGACGGUACUGCCCAUACUUGGCUGAGAAACUGGAGUCCAGGGAUAAAUAAGAUCAGAAAAUCUGUCCUUUGGAGGAAAAGUGGUUCAGCAGUCCCUCUGAGAAAUUGUCACUUACCACAUGCAUGUUAGACAGAAAGUAAAAAAUAUUCUCAAGCUCCAUACUUCAGAUAAAAUCAGAAAACAACUAUUUAUCCUGUAUACGGUAGAGCUCAAGAGGGCUAUCUAUAAAUGUCUCAGUAGAACCCAGGGCAGGUCACUGUUGCAGUCAUGAUAUGCAUGAGAUGGACUUCUGGUUUAGCAAAACCUGUCAGAGUUUACAGAUAAAACUCCACUGAUAUCUACUGUAGAUGGCUGAGAACCUCAGAUACUUUUCUUUUAUAAAAAGUAAAAUAAAAGUCUUGGAAGUUAAAUGAUACUGACAUAAUUAUUGCAAUUUACAGGAGGAUACGCACGAAACUAGUCAGUAUCAGGGACAAAUGCUUGCCAGAGAAACAAAAAAACCAGCUAAUGCUUCAUGAAGCAGCUUAGCAAGAAUUCUCCCUCCUAUGGCUUCCUAUGAAUUUGCUGUAUACACUUUACACAUAUUUUGUUCAUUUUUUAAAGUUAAGACUGCAGUAACGCGACAAAACUUUGAGUAAAUGAACAAAAUUUCAGCCUCACUUGUUAAAAUCAACACAGCAGCAUUAACUGACCUCCAAUAGAUUGUUUAGGAGACUGUCAAAAUGUAUUAAUUGAUAUAGUUUGAAAAGUGUAUCUAAUUAAUGAAACACAAGGAUCUGAGUUCUACUUUUAAUUAUUUGAUCACUAUAAAAUGCCACCUUCCAUGUCCUACUUUGCUAUAAAUUCUUACAUAAAAUGUAUAUAAACCUAAAAUAAUUUAAUGUUGCCAGUAAUGAAUAUGAAUUUUUCAAUAAUACAAAUAUUCCAAAAAUACUAUCAAAGGAUAAAUACUGAAUGGUAUUGUUAUUACUGACAUCACAAAUCCAUAUAUUGCGCCUAAAGAAUCUAAUGAGUGGGAUACAGCUCUUAUAAACUCACGAAGACAGAAAUUCAUAUUUGGGGUAAACGAUCCUACAAAAAGCCAGUAUAACUCUGUGAAGGAAUUUUCUAUGAAAAAAAAUGUGCUUUUUCUCUUUCACAAAUGGCAGUAUUGGGAUUGACAGAAAUGAUCCCUAGACUGAAAGUAUUGUGGUGUCAGGGCAACUGUAAUUAAAUUCUUUAGCUGAAUUGCACUCAGAUCUCUUUGUUUAGACAACGUAAUUUACCAUAAAAUAUAUAAACCGAUAAAAGGAUAAAAUAUAGCAGAUUUUAAAGCUAAUUGGAUAUCAGGGUUAUUAAAGGGACUUAGUGUGCUGGUGUUUCCCCCACAUUUAUCUAUUCAAGAAAAUGAACUACAGUAAUGUUUCAGUUCCCAAAGGCCAGUGUGAAAUGAGCACGUUGCCUGAGACAGGCAGUAACAAACACGAACUGAGCAGUGUUUGGUGGCACUCUCCUCAAUGACUUCUGUAAAGAGCACAGAGCUGGGCGUACCUGGCCUUUGCCUUGCCUCUCAGAGACACGGUCUGGAUAUUUCAGCAUUGCCUUUCACAGCUUGUGGCUUGACUAAAGCUUGUUUUGAAGCCAAUGGGGUUUUUUUGCCUCCUACAAAAAUGUAUCAGGCUCCAUCAAAACAACCAUUCACAGCAUUUAACUUCAGAUGUUGACAAAUGACUUAGCAGGUCAAAAAGCAGUUACUUUACAGGUGGAGCCCCAGGUGGACUUUUGGAGACUCUAAGUUAAGACCCUGCUUUAUGACUUAUUUCCACUUUCUAGGGCCUCAGGCUGUCACCCUAGUUGUUCACCUGCAAGUCCAGCUGACAGCCCAAUGACCAUUGAACAUUUAUCAGCUGUGUAACCAGAGGUUUCUUUGCACAACUCUGUCACAGCACACUCAAAUGACAAGGAGAACACUGGGAGGCAGACAGUUAUGUCUCUUCUGAAAUUCAAGUCACUACAGACUUCCGUAUCUAUCUCCCCGCUCCCCUUUGUGGUCUUCCCAGUUUCCUCAUAGCUCAAAAGGUCAAAACCUAAAAGCAGUCUUCUCCAAAACUCCCUUCCCACAGCAUGUCUGCUCUGCCUUAGGAGAAUGUAAAAGAGUCCAAGGAGCCAUCUGGAAAAAAGGACUCUGACAUGUGUCAAAGCUGCUUGCAAAUGUCAGAACUACAAGAGAGAUCUUGAAGAUCUCUAUGUGAGUCUUGGUGUUGUGAUUUAUUAAUGGUACAGCUGUGUAAAGCCAGAAACUGGGUGAAUCACAUCUGGUAUAGGGGGUUAUUUUUUAAAUCAAAGUGUAACUGAUGCUAUCUGGAAGGUUUUGCUAACCUUUCUCUCACUCUGAACCUAAAUCAGUCCCUCUGUUUAUAGCUGGCUGCCUUUAGAUGUCCUAUAUAAGAGGCCAUAUAAUACUUUUCUCUCUUUUAAUGGAACCCCCUAUCUCUCUAUGUCACUCUUUGAGAACAGGCAAUACAGACCCUCUCCAUCCAAAAUCCCAAGCUUGUUCUUUUUUCCUCCACAAAAAUCUGUGUCCUCCCUCUCCCCAUUUUGGGAGUCUCUGUUUCUCAGCUACAUCCUUAGGACUUCCCAGCUUUGACUGGACCUGGGCAUGUCAAGAGAGGACCCAAGCCACAAGGUAGAGAUAAGAAGACACAACCAAUUCAGAGAAGGAUCAGUGGAGAGCUUCUUGAGCAAAUAACUGACUAAAAAAAGCUUGUAAGACUUAGUGUGUCCUUAAGUAUUCUAUCCUUGAUUCUUUUCAUAAAUAUAAUUGCUUAUCGUUCCGAGGAUUACGUCCUAGUAGUAUGUCCUUUUACACUGGUUUUCAGAAGGAAGAAUGUCCACUAAAUAAGGUCAGGGUAGAUUGACUUAAUAUUAUGAGAUGAUGCUCAGACAUUAUCAGUAGGUCUAGCUUCUUUUUUUGGCUAGAUGAGUUGUUAGAACAGAUGAGCACAGAGAUGUGGGAAGAGAGAAGACAAAGCACAGAAGUGAUGGAUCAGCUAAGAUAUUUUAUAUACUAAGAACAAAAAUGGCAGUUCUAUUUUUGAAGCAUUCUGGGGUUAAGGCUUGCUAUUUGUGGGGAAAAAAACCCCAACAAGCUAUUAACAAUAAGCUCCUUUCUCUUGCAUCUCAGACAAAAAAGCAUGGAAAAUUUUAGCAACUUCUUUAGCCUUCCAUUGACUCUACUUUUAACACAACCUUAAUUUUAAUUCAUGCAUUGUCAACAGAAAAUUAAAAGCUUUAAUAAUACAGCCAUUAGCUCUUAUGCUUUAUUAAAACUAUUUGCACACUCUUUGUUGCACUUGCGAGACCUUUCAACAGUACAAAACACACUUUUAAUACAUAAAAGGAGCAGAAACUCUCAGGGAAACAGAAGAAUAUUAGAACAGAGUUCAAUUAGGAAAGUACCUGGAUAAAAAU